CCUACGGGUGGCUGCAGUGGGGAAUUUUGCGCAAUGGGGGAAACCCUGACGCAGCAACGCAGCGUGGAGGAUGAAGUCCUUUGGGACGUAAACUCCUUUCGACCGGGACGAUAAUGACGGUACCGGUGGAAGAAGCCCCGGCUAACUUCGUGCCAGCAGCCGCGGUAAUACGAGGGGGGCGAGCGUUGUUCGGAAUUAUUGGGCGUAAAGGGCGCGUAGGCGGUGCGGUAAGUCACCUGUGAAACCUCUGGGCUUAACCCAGAGCCUGCAGGCGAAACUGCCGUGCUGGAGUGUGGGAGAGGAGCGUGGAAUUCCCAGUGUAGAGGUGAAAUUCGUAGAUAUUGGGAAGAACACCGGUGGCGAAGGCGGCGCUCUGGACCGAGACUGACGCUGAGGCGCGAAAGCGUGGGGAGCAAACAGGAUUAGAUACCCUGGUAGUC
rnacentral:rRNA from 1 species